rnacentral:snRNA from 1 species
AAAAGUAGUACGGACCAUGAUCACGAAGGUGGUUUUCCCAGGGCGAGGCUUAUCCAUUGCACUCCGGAUGUGCUGACCCCUGCGAUUUCCCCAAUGUGGGAAACUUGACUGCAUAAUUUGUGUUAGUGGGGGACUGCGUUCACGCUUUCCCUGU